CAGCAGCCGCGGUAAUACGGAGGAUCCAAGCGUUAUCCGGAAUCAUUGGGUUUAAAGGGUCCGUAGGCGGUCUUGUAAGUCAGUGGUGAAAGCCCAUCGCUCAACGGUGGAACGGCCAUUGAUACUGCAGGACUUGAAUUAUUGGGAAGUAACUAGAAUAUGUAGUGUAGCGGUGAAAUGCUUAGAGAUUACAUGGAAUACCAAUUGCGAAGGCAGGUUACUACCAAUUGAUUGACGCUGAUGGACGAAAGCGUGGGUAGCGAACAGGAUUAGAGACCCCGGUAGUCCCUGUCUCUUAUAC
rnacentral:rRNA from 1 species